UACGAACCGUACGAACGUUAUUCGGAAUCACUGGGCUUAAAGGGUGCGUAGGCGGCGCGACAAGUUGGGUGUGAAAUCCCUCGGCUCAACCGAGGAACUGCGCCCAAAACUGUCGUGCUCGAGGGAGACAGAGGUGAGCGGAACUUAGGGUGGAGCGGUGAAAUGCGUUGAUAUCCUAAGGAACACCGGUGGCGAAAGCGGCUCACUGGGUCUCUGCUGACGCUGAGGCACGAAAGCUAGGGUAGCGAACGGG
rnacentral:rRNA from 1 species